UACCAGCACCCCGAGUGGUCGGGACGUUUAUUGGGCCUAAAGCAUCCGUAGCCGGUUCUACAAGUCUUCCGUUAAAUCCACCUGCUUAACAGAUGGGCUGCGGAAGAUACUAUAGAGCUAGGAGGCGGGAGAGGCAAGCGGUACUCGAUGGGUAGGGGUAAAAUCCGUUGAUCCAUUGAAGACCACCAGUGGCGAAGGCGGCUUGCCAGAAUGCGCUCGACGGUGAGGGGUGAAAGCUGGGGGGAACAAACCGG
rnacentral:rRNA from 1 species